GGUAGGACUACGCGCUGAACUUAAGCAUAUCAAUAAGCGCAGGAAAAGAAAAUAACCAUGAUUCCCUCAGUAACGGCGAGUGAAGCGGGAAAAGCUCAAAUUUGAAAUCUGGCAACAUUUCUUUUGUUGUCCGAGUUGUAAUUUCAAGAAGCUGCUUUGAGUGUAGACGAUCGGUCUAAGUUCCUUGGAACAGGACGUCAGAGAGGGUGAGAACCCCGUCUUUGGUCGAUUGGAUAUGCCAUAUAAAGCGCUUUCGAAGAGUCGAGUUGUUUGGGAAUGCAGCUCUAAAUGGGUGGUAAAUUUCAUCUAAAGCUAAAUAUUGGCGAGAGACCGAUAGCGAACAAGUAGAGUGAUCGAAAGAUGAAAAGAACUUUGAAAAGAGAGUUAAAUAGUACGUGAAA
rnacentral:rRNA from 1 species